rnacentral:rRNA from 1 species
UAUUUAGUGUUUUAUUAUAUUUAUUUAAUAAAAGUUAUUUUUUUUUAUUAGUUUUUUUGAAAAAUUUUUUUUAAUUAUAGAUUAUUAGUAAGGUGGCUGAAAUAUUAUAAAAUUUUAAUAAGAAGGAUUAAUUUUUCGUACCUUGUGUAUCAGGGUUAAUUAAUUAAAAAUUGAUUAUUAAUAAUUUUCCCGAAUAUUAAAGAGUUAAUUUUAUAUUUAUUUAAUUGUUAAAUAAUUUUUUUUAAUAUGAAUUUAGAAAUGAAAUGUUAUUCGUUUUUUUAUAUAUCUGGUUUUUAAAGAAAGAAAUUUAAUUUUUCAAUUUUUAAUGUGAUUUAUUAAUUUUUAAUUAUUCAUUAAUAUUUUGUAGUGUUUAAUGGGACGAGCUUUUGAACAUAUAUUUAUAAAGUUAUAUUUUAUUAUUUAUUAAUAUGAUUAUUAUUGUCAAUUUUUUUUAUAAUUUAAUAGUUAUUAUUUAUUUUAUUAUUAUUUAUAUAGUUUUUAAUUUUUUUAUUUAAAUUUUAGGUUUAAUUUUAAUUUUAAGUAAUAAUGAUUAAAUUAGUAAAUUAUUUAUUUAUUUUUAAUAGUUUUGUUAGGUUAAUAAAAGGAAUUCGGCAAAUGUUUAUUUUCGCCUGUUUAUUAAAAACAUGUCCUUUUGAUAAUAAUUUAAGGUUUAAUCUGCUCAAUGAUUAUUUAAAUUGCCGCAGUAAUUUGACUGUGCAAAGGUAGCGUGAUAAUUAGUUUUUUUAUUGAGAACUUGAAUGAAUGAUUGGACGAGAGAUAUACUGUCUCUUAUUAAAUUUAAAUUGAACUUAACUUUUGAGUUAAAAGGCUUAAAUAUUGAUUAAGGACGAGAAGACCCUAUAGAGUUUUAUUUUUAAUUAGUUUUUAUUUUUUGGUAUUUAAAUAUAAAUUUUUAAUUAAUAAUUUGGUUGGGGUGAUUUAAAGAUUGAUUAAACUCUUUUAUUUUUAUAAUCAUUGAUUUUUGAAUAAUUAAUCUAUAUUAAUAAAUAUAAAGGAAAUUACCUUAGGGAUAACAGCGUAAUUUCCUUUUAAAGUUCAUAUUAAAAUGGAAGUUUGCGACCUCGAUGUUGGAUUAAAAUUUAUUUUGGGUGCAGAAGCUCAAUAAUUAAGUCUGUUCGACUUUUAAAAUUUUACAUGAUCUGAGUUUAAACCGGUGUGAGCCAGGUUGGUUUCUAUCUUGAUUAUUUUAUUAUAUUUUAGUACGAGAGGACCAAAUAUUAAUUAUAAUUAAUUUAUUUUUGAAUAUUAUU